UACGUAGGGGGCAAGCGUUGUCCGGAUUUAUUGGGCGUAAAGAGCGCGCAGGCGGUCGUUCAAGUCGCGUGUGAAAGCCCCCGGCUCAACUGGGGAGGGUCACGCGAUACUGAUCGACUCGAAGGCAGGAGAGGGUAGUGGAAUUCCCGGUGUAGUGGUGAAAUGCGUAGAUAUCGGGAGGAACACCAGUGGCGAAGGCGGCCAUCUGGAUCAACACUGACGCUGAGGCACGAAAGCGUGGGGAGCAAACAGG
rnacentral:rRNA from 1 species